rnacentral:lncRNA from 1 species
UGUCACCCCAACAGUGGGCUCCUUCUUCCUGAGGAGCCGCCCACUGCCUGACACCUAGAAGCGCGGAUAAUCUGCUACACAAAGCCUCUCAGAUCGGGAAUCACAAAAACUGUAUGUACCCGAGAGCACAAAUCAUUGUGAAGGGAGCUCAUCUCUGUCAGUUGCCCCGGCGGCCCAUUACAAGACCGGCAAAAGGGGAGGCGCAGCGCCAUCUGGUGUCCAUGUAGGGA